GUGCUCGCUUCAGCAGCACAUAUACUAAAAUUGGAACGAUACAGAGAAGAUUAGUAUGGCCCCUGCGCGAGGAUGACACGCAAAUUCGUGAAGUGUUCCAUAUUUUA
ensembl:snRNA U6 U6 spliceosomal RNA